rnacentral:rRNA from 1 species
CCCUUUUUAUCAAGGGAAGUGGCCAGGCGGCUUAUUGCCCGCGCGCAUAAACCUUACACACAUUGGCUAGUUUUUUUGAACUUUGCUUUUGGUGGUGAGCCUGGCUUACUGCCCAAAGGUCUAAACACAUUUUUUUAAUGUUAAAACCUUUAACCAAUAAUCAUGAAAAUUUUUAACAAAAAUUAAAAUCUUCAAAACUUUCAACAACGGAUCUCUUGGUUCUCGCAACGAUGAAGAACGCAGCGAAAUGCGAUACGUAUUGUGAAUUGCAGAUUUUCGUGAAUCAUCGAAUCUUUGAACGCACAUUGCACCCUCUGGUAUUCCAGAGGGUAUGCCUGUUUGAGCGUCAUUUCUCUCUCAAACCUUCGGGUUUGGUAUUGAGUGAUACUCUGUCAAGGGUUAACUUGAAAUAUUGACUUAGCAAGAGUGUACUAAUAAGCAGUCUUUCUGAAAUAAUGUAUUAGGUUCUUCCAACUCGUUAUAUCAGCUAGGCAGGUUUAGAAGUAUUUUAGGCUCGGCUUAACAACAAUAAACUAAAAGUUGACCUCAAGUGCGGUCCGUGAAA